AUUAGAGUUUAACGUUUGCGGAAGCGUUUUAUACCGAAGACGUACCUUACGACUUGGACGUAAUCUGGAAUUGGAAGAAGUCAGGGAAGAUAUCACAAGUGGAUAUCAACCUCUUAUCUCAGAUCAAGUGCCUCUCCGAGUCGUCUUCUCUGUUUUUGUUCUCCUUUUGUUCUCUGUCUUUCUCUUGAAUUCUUACGAACUCAAGACGUGCCUUUCUUUGUCUACAAUGUCUGAUAUAUAUACAGCAUAUGAGACAUGUCUGAAAGACACAACAAACAAGAGACGCAU
rnacentral:lncRNA from 1 species